rnacentral:lncRNA from 1 species
GCCGACGAUGGUAGCUGCCCAUUAACGAAAAGGAAAUCUCCUGCAAGGCCUUUGAAGCCAGUGUUUGACAAUGCCUGAAGAAGGUCCGGACCAUUUAGAGAGACCCCAAAAGUGGUAAGGUCAGUUGUUGAAUUGCUGGAAGUAUUUGCUUUCUGGAAGUCAAUCUUUGCAGCCCCAGCUUUCUCGAUUGCCAUGGCCAACGCAAUAGCAGCAUCAUAUGCCCAUAGUUCGUAAAUGCUCGACUCAACAUCGACAGUUCCUGGGUUAUCUUGCAGGAAUUUGCUUUUCCAUCGAACGUAAAAAUUUUCCAGCUCUUUAGUUUUUGGAACAUAAGGUUUAACACCCAAUACACCUUGCAUUGAUUCGAUAACAGAAGGGGUUAGAGAACGCAAGUAAUCGGACAUCCCAUUUGUCAUGAUCCAAACAUAGCCUUCACUCAUCAUUCCAGCCUCUCUUGCUUUAGUGAGAAGCCGAGAGCCGAGAGAGGGUAGCAUGUGCAGGAUAAAAACUCUAGUUUGCAUACUCAUCAACUUGUAUAGCUCUUCAGCAAUUUGGUCAUCAGUAGCGAAGAAAGAGAUUAGACUCCUGUAAGGGAUUCGGGUAUCAAUUGCUUGCAAAGCAUCAGUUAAAUAAGGUAUGACUCCUUGGCCAUACUCGUUAUCAACGUAAAUGGGCACUGCUUCUCUCCAUCCAAAAGCUUGAAUUAGUGCAGCGAUGGCACCCACUUGAGUUGAAUCAUUUUGUGUAGCUCUGAAGAAAUAUGGUCUCCGGAUAGAAGUAAGAGAAGGAGUUGAUGCAGAAAAGGAUAUGAUGGGUACUUGAGCUUUUUGUCCAAGCUCAAUAACAAAGCCAGCCUGCGUAGAUGUUGUAGGUCCUAUAAUUGCUUGGACUUCCACAUUUUUUAUCAAGUUCAGUGCUGUGUAAAAUGUGUUUCAUAGUCAAUUCGAUAUUAUGGAUUUGUGGCGGCUUAAAUAGAAAGAGCAAAAAGAGAGACAUACAUGCACAUAUAUUUAUGUUUCUUUUUGACAAGUUUCAAACUCUAGUGUCUGUUAUGUGUAAAGAAUUAAGCGAUAUAGCCCAAAAUAAAUAAGCUAAUUACUAAUAUUUCACAGAUAAUUCAAUUCUUUGUUUUGUAGGAACUUGGGUUCAUCACCUUAUGCAUUUUGAUAAACAAGAUAUAUUGUAAAUUUAAUACUUGAAAUAACUCUCUUUCUAUUAUUAUUUCUUUUCUUUUUUGGUCAAUUUCCGGCUACGGUUUCGAUCUAAGACGACAUUUUUGAGUGACUUGGAGAAGGAUGGGCGAUUUAUGAAGCCUUCUGGUAUACUGCCACUGCGUGGUAAGGCAAGCAAAGCUGUUCGUUCCUUAUUCAACACAGCCGCUUAAGCUUAGGUCAGAAGCUGGCCACGUCAGGAUUAUCUAAGCUGCCCAUUUCAAGCAACCACACAGACAAGCAAAACAAGUGAAACCCAAACAAACUAGUAAUUUCAAUAAUUUUAUUCCUAAUCUAUUUGGGGAGUAAUUCUUAGCGGAUUUAAUCUUUAUAUUGACUUGAUUAUUUAUUAGCAUUAAUCAUUCAUGAUUAAAAUAAUUUAUAUAAAUAUUACAAAUAAUAAAUAUUAAUAUAUAAUUAAUUUUAUUUAUAUUACAUGAUAGAUUAGAUUUAUUUAAAGACUAUAUAAUACAAUUAGUUAUUUUUUAUACUCACACAAGUAAUAGCUUACAGAGUAUAAAUGCAAAAAUCUAAACUUAAAAUUUUUAUCCACCUAAAUUAGAUAAUACUAGUCUUUUGUCUAUGUGUUGCACGACCGUUAUAAUUAUUUUAAUUAUAAAAUCAAGUUGAUAUAUACAAUUUAAUAAUAAUUUUAAUAUUUAAUAUUAAUUUAUAAAAUUUUAAAAAAUAAUAGUAAAGUAAUUGUUUUUAAAUGUCUUUAGUUUUUUUAAAUUUUAAAAUUUUAUUAAUGCAUGAUAUAAAAAUUAUUUAUUAAUUACUUUUAAUAUUAUAUAAAUUAAUAUAUUAAUAUAAUUGAUAUUACUUAUUGUAUAAUUAAUAAUUGAUUCAUUAUUAAAUAUAAUUUAAAAUGUCAUUCUCUAGAAUUAGAAUUAUUAUCUAACUAAAAAAUUAAUUAAUUAAUUAAUAUAAUAUUAAAAUAUAAUUAAAUAUAUUAUUUUUAGAAUAAAAUUAGUAUUAUUAUAAUAUUAGAAAACUAUUUAUUGGUUACUAUAAUAUUAAAAUAUAUUUAAUAUGAUAUUUCUUAGAAUAAGAGUAUGUGUUUAAUUAGUAAUAUAUGUGUUUAAUUAGUAAUAUAACUUGUUAAUCAAUAGAUUAAUAGAAAAAACUAUAAAAUUAUACAAAAAUUUAAAUUUUAUAUGUCAAAAAUAAUACAUAUAUCAAAAUAAAAAUUUUACGUGUCAAAAAUUAAAUACACCUAUAAAAAAGAAUUAGGUCCUAAAAAUUAAUAUAUAUAGAUUAUUUCAAUAAUAUCUAAAUAUGUUUUAUAGGUAUUGAGUAUAAAAUGAUUCUGUCCAAUAAAGAAUUUAAUCUUUCUUGGUCACCAUUGGUGAAUGAGGUACUAUUCUUUCAUCGUCAACAUUAAUCAACAGAAACCAUGUAAUUAUAUAUAACAACAUUUAACCAAUCAACAGAAACCAUGUAAUUAUAUAUAACAACAUUUAACCAUACUGCUCAUGAAUCUAUAACUUGACAGGAAAAGUGAAACAUAGAAGAGAAGCUUGAUUUUUAGACUGCAUAACUAAUAUCUGUAUUUUUAUACAUGUAGAUAUAAAAAGUAUUCUUGAGCUUAAACUUUUGGGUUUCGUGAUUCCUUGACAACCAAGAGAGACUUUUCAUAUAUGCUUAAAAAAACACUAUAAAAAUCCAGAAAGAAGAUAGGGAGAGAAACCUGCAGCAGCUGCACCGACAACAUCCUCCAUGGAGUUCCUGGUAUAGAGGACCAACCUUGUCUUAUAAUGACCAUUGGUAGCGUAGAAGUCUGACAGGGCCAUGUUGAUGCAGCUCAACCAUUUCUUGCUUUCCAAGUUCUCCAAGUCAAGAACCACUCCUACAUUCACUGAUACUGUUGCGUUUUGUGCCAUCAUCAUUUCUGUCGACAAAAGAGAGAUCAGAAAGGAAAAAGAGAUCACAGAUCCUGGGUUGUUCUUUCUCAUCUUUUUAUUUGUAUUGGUAUUUCGUUGCCUCCAGUUCUAUGAGAUAACAACUCGAGUGUACUUCCUACGCCUGGUGGAAGAGCAUAUUGUGCUACUAUUUGAAUAUAAGGUAGCACAGUAGCCACAAAUCAGUGGCUACUAUUGCAAGGAAAUUUCAUGCUGUGAUUGCCUCAAAAAUUUAUGCCAAAUACACUCUCUUCAAAGACCAAAACAAAACUCAUUUAUUAUUUGGUAAUAGGUCACUUUCAGACCGAGCAGAGCGACUUGAAUUAUCACUAUUCAUACAUUCAGUUUCUGAGAUAGUACAACCACGACGAUUUGAUUUUUCCUUAUUACUGAAUGUGGCCAUAUUAUUAAGUGGUGCCUUCAUUUACCUUUGACCAAAUCAAAGUAUAUUGGUGGCAGAAAAUUACAUUUUUAGACAGUUCAGUUUUGUUUUUUUUUUUUUUUUUUCAAGGGAUGAAUGUAUCAGAAUUUGACUUCUAUCUUUGUCAUCCGAUAACCCAUAAUACUUAAUUGAUUUUUUCUUUUGUCUUUUAAAAAUACAACGACUGGGAAAUUUGUAUUUUUAGCUUUCAAAUAUCUAUAAAUUUGAGAAAAGAAAUAUUUUUAAACCAUUUCAAUUAAAUAUACACAUAAAUAAAUAUGUAAUAUAUACAAAUAGGAUGAUAAAAAUAAAAAUAAAAAGGCACAAAUAAAUAAAAAAUUUAACUUUUUAAUCUAGCUUAAUUAAAAUAAUAAAAUUUAUAUCUCUAUUAUAAUACCACAAAUUCAAUGAGAAAAAAGAAUAUAAGAAAAUCUAGGUUGUAUAUCUAAUUUUCUAAAAUCAUAAUUCCAAACAAGGAGGAAGCUCCAAGUUCUAGCCUGUCAAUCUUAAUAGAUAUUAAUAAAAACAUCAAUCAUUUUCUGUCAAAGGGAAAUAAGUAACAAAAAGCAAAAUUUUAAAGAGAUCCUUUUUAUUUUGAAUUUCGUUUUCAUUUCUCACAAGUCACAACAUACAAAGGAUUUUGGUUUGUGGAUUAGUCAAUUCAUUGGGAUCUUCAUACUCAGAAUCUCAAGAGAUAUAACAGUGAGUUUGGCUUUUUCAAUUACUCCUGACCUUUGUUAUACCACAUUUACUAUUCAAAUUCGUUAGUCUAAAGUCCAGAUUGAAGUAGGAUUUGGUCUCGAUUUCAAGUCGUAUUAGUUAAGGUAUGUAUUCGGGUCUUAUUUCUUGGCAACUCUAUUCUGUAUGUCUCUGUCAAUGAUCUACUAACCUUUAUCUUAUUGCAAAAGGCAAUUGCUCAGCGCUAAUGCCUAAUAGUGAUCAUUAUGGUGAUGGUAUAUUUCUAUAAGUUAUAUCUCUUACAUGUGUAGCUCAAGGCUUUCUUUAUAUAGUUUGGAGUUGAGAUUAAUAGAAAGAAGGUAAUAUAAUUGGGAACAAAAGCAUAAAUUUAUUAGUUUUUCCAUUUUUAAAAUGUAAUUUCUUGAGCUUUUGAUGUAAGCCUUUGUGGCAAAUGACCUCAUUUCAUUUGAUCAGAUGAAAAUUAGUUUGAUUCAGAUCCCAGAAAAGAAAAAAGAGAAAACCCUUUUUCUGUGAUGUCAUCAAGCCCCAACAUCUAAGAAAUAAUUUGUUGGAAACAUGUUUAAUAAUUACUUUUCCACAAACUUACCUCCACUUCAAUGAAGCAUCCUAGAAUUUCACAAAUUUGUUUAAUCAUAAAAUGCCAGAGAUUGUGAGAAGAAAAUUUCCAUAACAUAUCGGACUUUGAUUAAAUUAUGGUCAGGAUUUUCUUGAGUCCAAAAUCAAGAGUAGCAACUAGCGAACAACAUCCAACAAGGACGUUUACAAAUAUUAUAAUAUGAAGUCUUUACUUGUACAUAACGCACACUUGGAAUUCAAUGCAGCAAGGCCACCUUGACGUUCUAAGAAGAUUAGAUAAACCAACAACUUGGAAUUCUUGUCAAUUUUUCAGCUUGGAGGAGGAAAUCAAGAAACAAUUCCAUACUAUGGUCAUAGUCAUUAUCAUAUACACUCCUAGUACAAUAAUUUCAGAGCAGUAGCUUCCUUUUUCCUUUUCUUUUCUCAAAGGUGUUUAGAUGGCAUGUAACAGGCUACUUUUUGCAACGUUGUGCAAUUCCGGUACGGCUAAAAUUUGGAGAACUGCUUUGUUUUACCUGAAUCGUAAAAUAUGCUCUAUAUUAGGGCCUGAAAUUUAAAGCCUACCUUCGAGCUUUGCCUGGGAAUUCAAGACGCAGCCUAAAGGGAAAAUAUAUCAUUUUACAUGCAGUAACCAGAUUAACAAGGUCCUCCAAAACCUAAACGAAGAGACAUUUCGUAGUCCACAAGUAAUAAUAUUUACAUUGCUAAAAUCCUAGUUUAGUAUACAACUAUGGAUGAUGGUGUUACAAAUGUCAUAUAAGCAAUGCUAAUAAUCUACCAAUUAGUAGUUGUAACAGACUAUUUCAAGUUGUUGGCUAUUCUCUUGAAUCUUGAUUUGAGUUGACAAGCUCAAUGUUUAGCACUACUGCUUGAGUUGGUUGCUCUUCUGGAUUUGGAUCGCCAUAUUCUGCAGAAGGUGUGCCCUGUUCCCCAGGAAAAUCUGUCUGGACUGAAUAGAUUGACGGACUUGGAGCACCCAUACUUAUCUCAUUCGCUUCACUCUUUCUGAAAGUGUGUGAUUUCAAGUCUUUUUCGUCAAAUAUUCUCAACAAAUGAACAAUUCUACUCCAUAUUCUAGCUUCUGAAUCAGAACGCCUGAUAAUCUGCCAAUGCUCAUAGGUGAACAUGGCUCCGUAUAUCAUGAGAGCUAAAGCUGAAGCUGUUCCAGCAAUUAAAAAUAACCCCCAGAAACUUCUGAGACUAAGGCUAUUGGAAGAAACAGUGGUGCUAGGAUCUGGACAGCUGCUUUGCUUUCCAAACCAUGCUUCUCCAAUUUUCUUCAUGUCAUCUCCUUGAAUCACAUCCAAGAUUGCCCUUGAGACAUCAGGUACUAAUGGAGAUCUUUUAGGGAACACCUGAAACUCGCAAAAGAAAUAAGAAACCCAUGUCAGAAACUACAAAUGCACAAAUAAUCAUGCUGGAGUCGUCUCCGGCCCUUUGAGGUUUCUGGGUAGGAAUUACAUUCGGAUCUCAAACAAACAAACAAACAAACAAACAAAAUUAAAAAAAAAAAAAAAGAGAGAACUUACAAAUCCAAAGCCACCUGUCUUAAAUGUGGGUUCAACCAUGGUGUACUUGGAGCAAUACUGUGCUAAAAACAGCUUAAUAUAUGGUACUUCGUCAAAUGCAGCAGCAAUGCCGCCGUUCCUAGUUCCUUUUACGAAUAGUUCGUUGCAUUCUUCAGUAGAAUUGUACACUUUGAAUUUGGAUUCAUGGAAACCCAACCCUUUUAGGAUUCCCAAAACAAAAGAACCCUGAAGGUAGCCUACGUUAUCUUCAUUGCUAAUGAGCUGAUGAACAUCAGUCACAGUAGGCAUGAGCUGCUGGACUGUCAGGAGACUUGUUAAACUGGCUGUGUAGCUUUGAGUGAGAAUCAAUACAACGAAACACCAUAUGAUAACUACUAGUCUAGCCAAGUUGCUAACCACUCUUUCCCCUGUUAUAAAUACAAAGAACAAAGAGUAUCAGUUCUUCAAUUUGUACCAAAAGUUAAAAGCACAAAUUAGUUGUGAGAAUUCAGAAGGGGUAGUAGAAUCACGAUGGGCAAAAACCAUGGUCGAGAAGGAAAACCAGAACGCAGUGCCGGCUUGAUGUGAAGGAGGUCCUCUAAAGUCUUCAUUUAUUCUGUGUUCUAGAACCCAGACCACAAAACCAAUGAAAACAAAGAAACAGAAGCUUGUUACCCAAAGAUCCCAUGUUAAAGGCUUCACGAAAACCCAUGCAUUUUUACUAUUGUUGUCCUUGAUUGGCACUAUCAUUGAUACUCCUGAUUCUGUGUAAGGAAAUGUGAAGUCCACAUACAAGGACCUGUUUGCGAUUAUAGUUGUAUCUCCCACCACAGCAUCAAAUUCCUGUGAUGAAAGAAUAAGAAAAAAAGUGACAGAAAGUUGUGCUCAUGACUCAGCCGUAUGAGGAAUUUAUGUCAUAUCAGCACAAAAAUGAUUAGAAGUUACCCCAGUGUACACUUGAUAGACUAGAUCAUCAUAAGUUCCUGCACUGCUUCCAUCAGGAUUGACAAAGGGGGUGUAUUCAUAAGUCACAGCAUAAGGUAAUGCUUUCACUACAGCAUCAAAAACAUCAAUGCAGUAGCCUCUGACAGUUGUGGUAUUAGUACUAGGAUCUCUUGUCACCUUUACAAAUUCAUUAAAACCUUCUUUCACUGGCACUAGAAUUCGCAACUUCUUCCCUUUUGUUGGAAUCUCCCAUCCCUUGGGAACAGAAGAUGAAUCCCCAGGCCAUAUCACUGGUGCAAGAUUGGAUUCAGAAGUAGAAUACAAAUUUGUGACUGCCACUGAGUUCAAUUUCUUGGUAAGUCCCUUUUGGGGUGUCCAAAAUCCAAGUCCUCUUGCUCCAUCACCAAUUACAUUAAUUAUCUGGAAAGCCGACGAUGGUAGCUGCCCAUUAACGAAAAGGAAAUCUCCUGCAAGGCCUUUGAAGCCAGUGUUUGACAAUGCCUGAAGAAGGUCCGGAUCAUUUAGAGAGACCCCAAAAGUGGUAAGGUCAGUUGUUGAAUUGCUGGAAGUAUUUGCUUUCUGGAAGUCAAUCUUUGCAGCCCCAGCUUUCUCGAUUGCCAUGGCCAACGCAAUAGCAGCAUCAUAUGCCCAUAGUUCGUAAAUGCUCGACUCAACAUCGACAGUUCCUGGGUUAUCUUGCAGGAAUUUGCUUUUCCAUCGAACGUAAAAAAUUUCCAGCUCUUUAGUUUUUGGAACAUAAGGUCUAACACCCAAUACACCUUGCAUUGAUUCGAUAACAGAAGGGGUUAGAGAACGCAAGUAAUCGGACAUCCCAUUUGUCAUGAUCCAAACAUAGCCUUCACUCAUCAUUCCAACCUCUCUUGCUUUAGUGAGAAGCCGAGAGCCGAGAGAGGGUAGCAUGUGCAGGAUAAAAACUCUAGUUUGCAUACUCAUCAACUUGUAUAGCUCUUCAGCAAUUUGGUCAUCAGUAGCGGAGAAAGAGAUUAGACUCCUGUAAGGGAUUCGGGCAUCAAUUGCUUGCAAAGCAUCAGUUAAAUAAGGUAUGACUCCUUGGCCAUACUCGUUAUCAACGUAAAUGGGCACUGCUUCUCUCCACCCAAAAGCUUGAAUUAGUGCAGCGAUGGCACCCACUUGAGUUGAAUCAUUUUGUGUUGCUCUGAAGAAAUAUGGUCUCCGGAUAGAAGUAAGAGAAGGAGUUGACGCGGAAAAGGAUAUGAUGGGUACUUGAGCUUUUUGUCCAAGCUCAAUAACAAAGUCAGCCUGCAUAGAUGUUGUUGGUCCUAUAAUUGCUUGCACUUCCAUAUUUUUUACCAAGUCCAGUGCUGUGUUUUGGAAGGAGAUUUAGAAAAAUCAGAACUCGACUAGAACUAAAGCCUCUGUGAUCACGUUAUAUGACAUGUUGAUCUUGUAUAUAAAAAUGGGUUUGAUAGUCAAUUCAUGAUAGUGGUCCCUUAUAGCAACCAAAAGAAAAGGAGAGAGAUGCAAAUAUUUAUGUGCUUAAAUAAGUGUUUCUUUCAAAAGAAUUAAAAAAAGAAACUAAACUCGGACAUUUUAAUUAAGAGACAAAUAUCCAAUUUUAAUAUCGGAAACAACUUCGUAUGAUUUUGUUUUUCUUUCUUUGGAAGUGGUCUAAGUCAAUUUUUCCUGCAACAGUUUCGACCUAUGGAGGGUGCUUUUUGGGGUGACCUGUAGAAGCAUGCCGAAAUUUUUGAAGGAUUUUGGGCUCUUGGUAAAGCAAGCAAAGCUAUCCGUUCAUUAGUCAAUACCGCGGCUUAAGCUUGGAUCAGAUGCUUGCUUACUGGAAUAAGAUCGGUCAGGAUUUUCUAAGGAUAUUUGGGGUAGUAGAUCAAGUAGCUUCUCUAUCAAUAAACAGCCAAAGAUAACUAGUGAACUCAAAUUGCCACAUUACAAUUGUACAAAAUAGUCACAUGGUUCCUAUCAUCAAACUAAUUAAAAACAGGUUGUUCCAUUACCUCAUUACAUGAAAUAAGUGCUUAGAACUAGAAAAUAAAUGUGUCGGUUCCCUGCAAUUAAAUUCAGACCCUAUCUUUUAUUAAAAGAUUGAGCCAAAUCUUGUCAACCAAUAAAGAAAAGCAUUCACGAUCAGAAAUGCUAUAUCAGAUACUAUUCUUCCAUCAUCAACAUAAAUCUAGAAAAAGCCAACACUUGAUCCCAAAUAGCUAGCAACACUUAAACAUACUGCUCAAUAAGGAAAAGUGAAAGAUAGAAGGGGAGCUUGAGUUUUAGAGUGCAUACUUGCUAUCUAAAUAUAAUUUUUAAGGAGAGAGGCUUUUCAUAUAUGCUCAAUACGAAUGAAAAAUAUAUAACGUCCAAAAAGAGAUUGGAAGAGAGAGCGAGAGAGAGACAAAGAAAAGAAACCUGCUGCAGCUGCACCAACCACAUCGUCCAUGGAGUUCCUGGUAUUCAGGACCAACCUUGUCCUAUAAUGACCAUUGAUAGCAUAGAAGUCUGACAGGGCCAUGUUGAUGCAGCUCAGUCCUUUCUUGCCUGCCAAAUGCUCUAAGUCAAGAACCACUCCUAUAUUCACAGACACUGCUGUGUUCUGUGCCAUUGUCGUUCUUGUUAACAAGAUAAAGACAAGAAAAGAGAAAGAGAUGACAAGUACUGAAGCGUGCUUCCUCAUCUGUCUGUCUAGUGGUAUCGGGUUGCCUCCAGUCUCAACAGGAUAUUUCUUGUUUAUAUAUAAGAUCUCAGGACUGGAAAAGUAUAUAAAAGGAUGAAAGAAGAGUUUACUUCUGUGCCAGGAGGAAGAGCAUAUGAAACUACUACUUCAAAUGAAAGAUAGAACAGUACGUGGUUACUAAUAAGUGACCUAGUUAGUAUAGCAAGGAAAUUCCAUGCUAAUACGCUAUGACAUGUAGCAUUCAUGCACUUAGAUGCGAAGCUAGCACAGCCCACAAUGAGUUUAAUUUCCCUAAUUACUUGGGAGUGCGGCAAUAUCAUCCAAGACAUGUCUUGUGUUAUAGUAUCUUCGUUUUCAGCUUGACCAAAUCAAAACUUGUUUGGUGGCAGAAAAUUCUUUGUUUCUUCAGACAAUUCAAUUUUUCAUUUUCUUUUUCCUCUUUUUUUUUUUUUUUUUUUUUUUUUUUUGGGAGAGAAAAGUACAUUAGUUAGUUCUAUCUCCGUCAGUUUGCGAGAAGCAACCGAUAGCCCGUAAUGGUUUUCUUUUUUUCUCAUUAAACAGAAAUUUCAUUUAUAAAAAUUACAGAGUAAGAAUACAUACAGUAUUACAGAAAAAUGUAAAAGCAAACAGUGAUCAAAUAGUAUAACAAUAAAACUGACAAGAAGCAUGAACAGUAGGUGCUGCAGCUCAGAGAUCCUUUCAUUAUUUUGGCUGAAGUCCAAAUCGACGUGCCAUGUGUGGUUUCAGGAAAUUAAAGCUCGGCUAUAAAUGUCAUUAGCAUUUACUUUUCUUCUAUUCUCUUCUCUUUCAGUUUGACCGAAGCCUUACUUAUUUGUUAAGGUAUAUAAUUCGGUCUUCUUCUUGGCAACUCAGUUAAUUGAUUACUAGCUACUUCUUCCUUUCGGUUGGGAAAAUGUAAUUCGAGAGGCAGAAAGCAUAUGUAUAAUCAAUAAGGAGAAGGUAUGAUUGUGCAAAAAAAGAUUAUUACCAUACGUACUCUAUAGAAGGACAAUUGGUACGUCCUAAUGCCUAAUAGUAAUCUUUAAAAAAUAAACAUAGUAAUAAUGAAUGAAUGGUACUGGUUAUUUUAUACAAGCCACACAUAUCUUCCAUAGCUCAAGGCUCUUUAUUAAUCUUAUUUAGGAGUUGAAGAUUAGGAAGAAGAGGGUAAAAUAACUGUGGAUAAAUGCAAAUAUUUAUUCUCCAUUUUAGAAUUGAACUUCUUGAAUCUUAGAUAAUCAGACCUUUACUGCAAAAUGAUUAUCAUAUAAUUUGACUCAGAAAACAUUAGUCACAAACAUGUCUAAUAAUUAUUUUCCCUAUUAUUUUUCCACAUAUAGCUCCCAUUUCUAUGAAGCAUCCUUACUCUGAUUAGGUGAACAAACGACUUGGAUUUGGAGGAGGAAAUCAAGAACCAAUUCCAUAUAACGGUCAUAGUCAUGGUCAUAAUCCUAGUAAUUUAUUUGAAAUAAGUAGAUUCAGAGUAAAUUCCUAGUAAUCAAGUCCUUAACAAAAUCCAAAUUAUAUAGCACAUGUUUGAAGAUAGUCAUUAGAAUAGUUUCAAGGCAGUAGCUUUCUUUUUUCCCUUUCCCUUUCUGAUAUUGUGUUUAGAUGGCAUGUAAUGAUACUUUUUGCAUGUCAUGCAAUUCCCAGCUAAAGUCAAAAGGAUUUGUAAGAACAAAAAAUGCUUCAGUUGCAGCUCACCCAAAUAAUAGGUUACCUAUUAGAUUCCAAAGCAGUAGCUUCCAACUUCAAUUUUCGAAUCGCAUAUGGCAUAUACAUAUACAGUAUCAAGAGGUCAGGGAAACAUGAAGGCAGAGUAGCCAGACAUCCAAUGUUUACAAUGGCAUGCAGGACUAAAACAUUUUCUCUCCAAACUAAACACCGUCUAUUUCGUAAGCAGAAUGCUUGAACAGCAAGAGGAAAUGUAUGAAGUUGUUUACAAACUUAAACAUACAAAACAAAUGUGAAAAACAACAAACUUGUAAAUCCAAGCCAGAUUACUCAUCUCUUGAAGCAGGAUCCAUACCGGUUGAUGGGCUAUCAGCAAAAUACUCCUGGUGCUUCACAUUUACACCAUACUGCACAUUCAGUAGCAAGCGGAUCACAUAUUAGAGACUAAGCACAAUAGGAAGAGAGAUCAGGUGUCAACUUGCCCCUCAACCAGCAGCUGCAUAUAUUUACAUGCACUUCUCAUGCUAUAUAACAAAAAUGAUGAUUAACCUUGGUCCUAAGAAGCAGGACUGCAAUUAGGGGUUGGAACUGGAAUACAACUUGGUCCCCAAAAUGAUAAAGGAAAUUAGAAUAUUUUGGUGCUAACCUCAUGCAGCGCCUUAGAGAGGUCCUCCAUUGUCAAGAUUAGGCGCUUAUCCUGUUGACAACGCAUGCUAAGAUAGCUGCAAAAUUAUACCAAUAUACAGACAUAAGAUUGUACUAGGAUCAUCAUCUCACCUUUUGCUGCUUCUCUCUUUUGUCUUUGACAACUGCUGAUUGACGCGCCUUGCAUUGCCUACAAUACGUGAACAAGUGAGACAUUAUCAUCACUGUGACCUGAGCAAUGAGAAGCUAAUGUACUAGCACUGGAUAAAGUGGCUGAAAGACCCUAAAAGUGAAUUCAAGAAACUGUAUUAUCUAGCGACAUGCCUUGAUGAAAUGUAGCAACUAUAAGGUUUCCAAACAUGAAAAAAUAACUAAAUAAAAUGGAAUUCUUUCAGUUUUAGACUUUCCAACAAAGGUGAACAGGAAGAGAAAAAUAAGGGCCAUCUCCAGAUCAUGCUAUUUUACAGAGCAUAAAUCUAUAUAGCCAUGUACACAACCAUCUUCAGCUGCGAUUACCCCUAAUUUUCUUCAAAGCUUAAAAUGUUCAAUGAGAAUGUUGCAUGUCAAAGCCAAAAGAAGUCGUGUCUACCAGUGAAUUAUAAUACUUAUCGAAAGAAACAUACUGAAGAGCAUCAUUGGCAACCUCUGCAACAAACUUCUGAGUAGCAACAGCUACCAAUCUAACUCUGAAGAAAAGAAAGUAACAAUAAUAAUCUUUGACAAUGGCAUUUCAAAGAAGACAAAGAAUAAAACCCUAAUUUCUGAUAAAUUGGCAUUAAUUAAAAAUCAUAAUCAACCAAGCCCUAGAUUAUAAGAGUACCUACAAUCGAACAUCUGGACAUUGAAAUCCACUCUUGCCUAAGUAAUGUUCCACUAAUUCGUCAGGUAUCUGCAAAUUCAACAGAGAGAAACAAAAUUUAAUUAAUUAACCAAUUACCAAAAAUACAAAAAGUAAUAAGUUAAAAGAACUUUGAUUACAGUAGGAGUGUAAUCCAUCAAAGAAGAGAGGAAUUCCGUUAGAGCUGCGUCAUCGUCAUGCCUUCCAUCGCUCGAUUGCUGCUGCUGCUGGCUAUUAUUACUGUUUUGGUUCAUUUUCUUUCUUUUUAUUUCUUCUUGUUGCAGUUGUUUCUCUUUUUUCUGCACACUUAUUACUCGGGGCUUCUGUACAGUGCUGGGAUGUAUUAGUAACGAACAAUAGUAAUACGAGGAAGAAGAAGAAGAUGGGGCUUCAGGGCUUCCACGACGCCGUUGUCUUCUGAUAUCAGCGUUUCACGAUUGCCAGCUAUUGGGUCCCACCUUAGGUUUUCUUUUAAGGUUCCAGUUCUCAUUAGAUUACGUAUUUACCAAAAACUGUGCAUAUUAAUAGCAAUUGCAAAAAUAUACACACACAUAAUAAAAUGUGUAAAAAGAAUUUGCUUAAGAUUUAUAUAAAUUUUUUGAAUUUUGAUCUGAUUUUAUACCGUCUAAAAAGUCAUUUUUCGAAGUUAAAGAAACUAUUAAAAAGAUUUUUUAAUAAUUUAAAAAGGCUUUUAAAUUACUUUUGAAAAAGAGAAAUUAAAAAUAAGAAAAAACAAUAUGAAUCACAUAAUUUUCUCUCACUAUCAAGUUCUUUCUGUCUAAUGUCACUAACUUCCUUAAAAGGAAUUAAAAUUUCCUUCAAAAUACAAUUAGCUGUCUUUACGGAAAAGAAUUCUUAAAGAAAAUGAAUGGAGGAUUUUUCUAUACAGAUAAAGACUUCAAAAUUAGCAGUUGCUAAAACGAAGAAGCUUCAAUAAUUAAGCUGGAUUAUAAGAAUUCAUCUAGAAUAUAAAUAUAUUACAAGGUGAACUAGACGUCGUUUUGACAAAAGAGCAAAUAAUUAUUGAUUCCUUCAGACUAGACCACCACUAUGAUGCAAAAAUUGCAUUUGGUGCUCAGUAAUUAUGGGGCAAUUUCCAAAAUGCUCGACUUAUUAUUCUGGCAUUUGCAUUUUUGUUUCAUCAGAGAGAUGUAAUCCCAACGAAUCUCUUUAAACCCAAUGGAGUCUUAACAGCUAAAAUCCUAACAACUUCCAUUGAACAGUGAAGAAGAACUCGAAGCUGUGACAUCUGCGGCUUCUUUUUUCUCUAUAAUGUGGAAUCAAGGAGAGCAAAACAAACUAGAAAACUCAUCUUGACCUUGGCUGAGUAUAUCGUAAUAUUCCGUAUACGUCUAUGAUGCCUGGAGGGAAAACAGGAUCGCUUGCUGCCCUCACUGCAACCUUUGCCACUGCAUUAACAUUGACAGGGGGAGUGAACAGGGGUCCAACCAGUGGAAGCUGAUUCAGUGGUUUUGCAUGUUGAAGAAGCUGCAGCAAUGUAUAUGCUAUUAGUUAAUUAGAAGUAAUAAGGAAUAAAGAAUACCCAAUCAACAUCGAACAAUUGCUUGAAACACUUCAGGAAUCAUGAGGUGUUUCAAGCAUUUUUUUUGCUGGAGAGAAAAACACAAGUCGAGGGGUUUAAACGAGGAGGUAAAUUGCACAGGAUAUAUCACGCUGGCUUCAUGAAAACCAAAAAUUCACAUCUAUCUCAUCUACCCAUCACUAUUGGAUUGGCUAAACCUAAUAGAAUAGACGAGUAUAUAAGGACAAAGCACAAGCAAUUACCAUCUCCAUAGGAGAACCAAUUACACCUAGAGGUAGCUUCACGCUCCCAACGUUGCGAGUCCCAUAGAUAAACCCAGGCCUGAGAAUUAUUCCUGAGUAUGGGAAAGUGAAAAAUGUUCUCAACAGGUUCGCAUCACAACAAGAAUGGUAUUAACUAACUGGUAACACGAAGAUUAUAUUUCCACUUUAUUAGCAAAUACAUUAGUAGCACAAAGAUUUUGAUAUAAGCCAGAAAAAGGAAGAGAAAUUCAAAAAAUAAUAAUUGCAACUAAGGAGAGAAAUUCAAACUUAAAAACUUCUUAUGCAGGUCUCUCGAGUUUCCAGUUUUUUCAGCAACGUAGACAAACAUGUCAGCACAAAAUUGUACAUAACUUGCAAAGAGGCAAAGAGAUUUUACCUCCAUAAGGAAACUUGGUCAAUAACUCUGUUUCAGCAGCUCUCUACUUCAAAGAGAAUGCAAGUAAAAGUUUUCCAUCAGAUAUGAAUGCAAAAGGGAAGGUAUUUAGUAUCAAUGUGUCAUGUCUACAUCAAGAGUGUUCCGCUUCUUGUGAAACAACAAAUGCAUAUAUAGUAAGCUCAACAGAGUCUGUUAGUAAACAAAUUCAACAAAAAUAAAAAGAAAAAAUAGUCAGCUUAAAGCUUUUGAUAGUAACCCUUGCUUCCAAAAUUCUGAAGACAAUAAAACCAAGUUAAAAAUAUCGGCAGAAUGAAACCAUAAUUUCAGUUUUUUUGAAUUAACUUUUAAAUUCUAAGUGCCAAUUGAUAUCAACAUCAAAUAGUAAUAAUACCUUUCCCUCAUAAUAUCCUUGCAGUAAGUAAUUAGCCAAGCCAAAGUCAGCUGCAGAGAUAUAAACAAAUCUUUUUACACCUGUAAACAAAAAUGAAGUCCCAUUAUCUAAGCAGAGAAAACAAGUAAAAUCCACAACAUUAAUUAAGCAAUGAGCUAGAAAUCUAUCACUAUGAAAGAAAAUUAACUGCAAAAGUCUAUCUAAUAGACAACUAUUUGGGUUAAAGGGCAAGCCAUAUUACAGGUUAUUAUAUUUGUAAUUCUCAAUACAAUCCUAAAGGCUUUCGGCAAUUUCAGUAUGCCAUCAAUAUUUAUAAUUCUAAUGCCAUUGAUGGAAAAAGGCUUUCUGCAAGAUGGCAGACAUGUAAUUUCAGUAAAAAAAAAGGAGGUGAGGAAAAAGAAAUAGCAAAAACCAUACAAAAAAUGCAAUGUUAAAUUUCUUUUCAUUGUUUGCAUCCCUAAGAUGAAUAAAGAAUAAAGGUAACAAGAACCAUGUAGAAAAGUAGAACUUCCCCAUUUGAAAUUACCAAUACAACAUAGUCCUGCAUAUGCCUGAAGCCGUUUAGAUACCUAAUACAGCCACAAACCAGGAGUUCUUUUUUCUAAAAGCAUUGCAGGGUGGGUGAAAGCUGACAUCAGCCUGCCUGGGGCUUUUAUUUUAAACAACUUUCAGCUACUUUGACAAAAAAUGACAGAUCCAGCAAGAAAUUUCAUUUGCUUUAUACCGUACCUUUUUCUGAAGCAGCUCUUAUUGCAUUGAUGUUUGCAGUUCCGUUGAUCUUAUACAUGUGAGAGUGCGAGCCAAAACCACCAACACAGGAAAUCUAGAAAAAUUCACUAAAAUAAGUGAAUGGACCACCAACACAGGAAAUUUAAAAAAAUUCACUAAAAUUAGUGAAUGGACCAGCUAAU